rnacentral:rRNA from 1 species
AACGAACGCUGGCGGCAUGCCUAACACAUGCGAGUCGAACGAUCCCUUCGGGGAUAGUGGCGCACGGGUGCGUAACGCGUGGGAACCUGCCCUUAGGUUCGGAAUAACUCAGAGAAAUUUGAGCUAAUACCGGAUAAUGUCUUCGGACCAAAGGUUUAUCGCCUUUGGAUGUGCCCGCGUUGGAUUAGCUAGUUGGUGGGGUAAAGGCCUACCAAGGCGACGAUCCAUAGCUGGUCUGAGAGGAUGAUCAGCCACACUGGGACUGAGACACGGCCCAGACUCCUACGGGAGGCAGCAGUGGGGAAUAUUGGACAAUGGGCGAAAGCCUGAUCCAGCAAUGCCGCGUGAGUGAUGAAGGCCUUAGGGUUGUAAAGCUCUUUUACCCGGGAUGAUAAUGACAGUACCGGGAGAAUAAGCCCCGGCUAACUCCGUG